rnacentral:rRNA from 1 species
AUUCCAGCUCCAAUAGCGUAUAUUAAAGUUGUUGCAGUUAAAAAGCUCGUAGUUGGAUUUCUGGUGGGAGCGAUCGGUCUGGCGCUUAGCGCGAGUACUUGCAUCGUCUCCGGCCAUCCUUGGGGAGAGUUUGUCUGGCAUUAAGUUGUCGGGCAAAGGAUCCUCAUCGUUUACUGUGAAAAAAUUAGAGUGUUCAAAGCAGGCUUAUGCCGUUGAAUAUAUUAGCAUGGAAUAAUAAGAUAGGACUUUGGUACUAUUUUGUUGGUUUGCGCACCAAAGUAAUGAUUAAUAGGGACAGUUGGGGGUAUUCGUAUUCCGUUGUCAGAGGUGAAAUUCUUGGAUUUACGGAAGACGAACUACUGCGAAAGCAUUUACCAAGGAUGUUUUCAUCA